UUUACGGAGAGUUUGAUCCUGGCUCAGGACGAACGCUGGCGGCGUGCUUAACACAUGCAAGUCGAACGAUGAUGGAGAGCUUGCUCUUCGGAUUAGUGGCGAACGGGUGAGUAACACGUGAGCAAUCUGCCCUUGACUCUGGGAUAAGCGUUGGAAACGACGUCUAAUACCGGAUACGACCUUGGAAGGCAUCUUCUUUGGUGGAAAGAAUUUUGGUCAGGGAUGAGCUCGCGGCCUAUCAGCUAGUUGGUGAGGUAAUGGCUCACCAAGGCGACGACGGGUAGCCGGCCUGAGAGGG
rnacentral:rRNA from 2 species